rnacentral:rRNA from 1 species
UGGGGAAUUUUGGACAAUGGGGGAAACCCUGAUCCAGCCAUCCCGCGUGUGCGAUGAAGGCCUUCGGGUUGUAAAGCACUUUUUGCAGGAAAGAAACGUCAUGGGUUAAUACCCCGUGAAACUGACGGUACCUGCAGAAUAAGCACCGGCUAACUACGUGCCAGCAGCCGCGGUAAUACGUAGGGUGCAAGCGUUAAUCGGAAGUACUGGGCGUAAAGCGUGCGCAGGCGGUUCGGAAAGAAAGAUGUCAAAUCCCAGAGCUCAACUUUGGAACUGCAUUUUUAACUAUCGGGCUAGAGUGUGUCAGAGUGACGUGGAACUCCGCGUGUAGCAGUGAAAUGCGUAGAUAUGCGGAGGAACACCGAUGGCGAAGGCAGCCUCCUAUGAUAACACUGACGCUCAUGCACGAAAGCGUGGGGAGCAAACAGG